CCGGCCAUUAGCAGCAGCAAUAUGAAGUGCAGAUUGGCGAUCAUAAGCAGUGGUUUGGUGCAUAAGAGAUGGGUCUCUCUCAAGCACAGCCUUUACAGUGUCCAAGUCACCAGACUGGACGGCACUGAAGAGCCCAUGUUCUUGAGUCGCUGCACAACUGAGUCCCUGACCCAUUCUCCACUCUCACUCUCCCUAAAACCAGGCACCCACUUAGCUUCGUCACUUGAAUCCGGCGUCACCGGAGAGGCGGUGCACCACUGUCCU
rnacentral:misc_RNA from 1 species